rfam:Gossypium arboreum cultivar AKA8401 contig_13704_3, whole genome shotgun sequence.
AAUCCAUGAUGAGGACACUUUCUCAAAAGAUCUUUAAAACUCUCUCAUGCAUCGUAUAAUGUCUCAAACUCAAAUUGAGCAAAAGAAAAGAUGUCAUUCCUCAACUU